GGGCCACUAGCUCAACUGGCAGAGCAUCGGACUUUUAAUCCGCUGGUUCAGGGUUCGAGCCCCUGGUGGCCCA
rnacentral:tRNA from 1 species